UGGCUUAGUUGGUUAAAGCGCCGGUCUAGCAAAUACGGAGUCGUGGGCUCAAAUCCCAU
rnacentral:tRNA from 1 species